rnacentral:rRNA from 1 species
UUUCCUACGGGAGGCUGCAGUGGGGAAUAUUGCGCAAUGGGCGAAAGCCUGACGCAGCGACGCCGCGUGGGUGAUGAAGGCCUUCGGGUCGUAAAACCCUGUCGGGUGGAACGAAUUCCGCCUCGCUAAUACCGAGGCGGCUUGACGGUACCACCGAAGGAAGCCCCGGCUAACUACGUGCCAGCAGCCGCGGUAAUACGUAGGGGGCGAGCGUUGUUCGGAUUUACUGGGCGUAAAGAGCGCGUAGGCGGUGGGAUAAUGCGGAGGUGAAAUCCCGCGGCGCAACCGAGGACCCGCGUCCGAUACUGUCGAACUUGAGUGCAGGAGAGGAGAGCGGAAUUCCCAAUGUAGCGGUGAAAUGCGUAGAUAUUGGGAGGAACACCGGUGGCGAAGGCGGCUCUCUGGACUGUCACUGACGCUGAGGCGCGAAAGCUAGGGGAGCAAACGGGAUUAGAUACCCCUGUAGUCC